AUGAUCACGGACAAUGUGCUGUUGGCCUAUGAGAUCACUCACUUGAUGCAUACAAAGAAGGGAGGAAGGCAAGGCUUGGUGGCAGUCAAGUUUGAUAUGAGCAAGGCGUAUGAUCAGGUGGAGUGGAACUUCCUGGAACGCAUGAUGCACACUAUGGGUUUCGCUCCUACUUGGAGGGGACUGCGUCAAGGAGAUCCUUUAUCUCCGUACCUUUUCAUCAUUUGUGCGGAGGCCUUCUCCAGGUUACUGCAGCAAGCUGAGGUCGAGAGGACAAUUGAGGGGGUUCAGGAGAUCCUUGCUCUGUAUGAGGCUCAAUCAGGCCAGAAAAUCAAUAGGGACAAGUCCUCGGCGUUUUUUAGCAAGAAA
rnacentral:rRNA from 1 species